rnacentral:piRNA from 1 species
UGGAAAUGCCAGAAUGGGAAAGAUUGAA